rnacentral:rRNA from 1 species
AGCGUACACGGUGGAUGCCCUGGCAGUCAGAGGCGAUGAAGGGCGUGCUAAUCUGCGAUAAGCGCCGGUAAGGUGAUAUGAACCGUUAUAACCGGCGAUACCCGAAUGGGGAAACCCAGUGUGACUCGUCACACUAUCAUUAACUGAAUCCAUAGGUUAAUGAGGCGAACCGGGGGAACUGAAACAUCUAAGUACCCCGAGGAAAAGAAAUCAACCGAGAUUCCCCCAGUAGCGGCGAGCGAACGGGGAGGAGCCCAGAGCCUGAAUCAGCAUGUGUGUUAGUGGAAGCGUCUGGAAAGGCGCGCGAUACAGGGUGACAGCCCCGUACACAAAAGCGCAUGUGCUGUGAGCUCGAUGAGUAGGGCGGGACACGUGGUAUCCUGUCUGAAUAUGGGGGGACCAUCCUCCAAGGCUAAAUACUCCUGACUGACCGAUAGUGAACCAGUACCGUGAGGGAAAGGCGAAAAGAACCCCGGCGAGGGGAGUGAAAAAGAACCUGAAACCGUGUACGUACAAGCAGUGGGAGCACCCUUUGGGGUGUGACUGCGUACCUUUUGUAUAAUGGGUCAGCGACUUAUAUUCUGUAGCAAGGUUAACCGUAUAGGGGAGCCGUAGGGAAACCGAGUCUUAACCGGGCGUUAAGUUGCAGGGUAUAGACCCGAAACCCGGUGAUCUAGCCAUGGGCAGGUUGAAGGUUGGGUAACACUAACUGGAGGACCGAACCGACUAAUGUUGAAAAAUUAGCGGAUGACCUGUGGCUGGGGGUGAAAGGCCAAUCAAACCGGGAGAUAGCUGGUUCUCCCCGAAAGCUAUUUAGGUAGCGCCUCGUGAAUUCAUCUCCGGGGGUAGAGCACUGUUUCGGCUAGGGGGCCAUCCCGGCUUACCAACCCGAUGCAAACUGCGAAUACCGGAGAAUGUUAUCACGGGAGACACACGGCGGGUGCUAACGUCCGUCGUGAAGAGGGAAACAACCCAGACCGCCAGCUAAGGUCCCAAAGUCAUGGUUAAGUGGGAAACGAUGUGGGAAGGCCCAGACAGCCAGGAUGUUGGCUUAGAAGCAGCCAUCAUUUAAAGAAAGCGUAAUAGCUCACUGGUCGAGUCGGCCUGCGCGGAAGAUGUAACGGGGCUAAACCAUGCACCGAAGCUGCGGCAGCGACGCUGAUGCGUUGUUGGGUAGGGGAGCGUUCUGUAAGCCUGUGAAGGUGACCUGUGAGGGUUGCUGGAGGUAUCAGAAGUGCGAAUGCUGACAUAAGUAACGAUAAAGCGGGUGAAAAGCCCGCUCGCCGGAAGACCAAGGGUUCCUGUCCAACGUUAAUCGGGGCAGGGUGAGUCGACCCCUAAGGCGAGGCCGAAAGGCGUAGUCGAUGGGAAACGGGUUAAUAUUCCCGUACUUGGUGUUACUGCGAAGGGGGGACGGAGAAGGCUAUGUUGGCCGGGCGACGGUUGUCCCGGUUUAAGCGUGUAGGUGUGUGUUCCAGGUAAAUCCGGUUCACUUUAACACUGAGGCGUGAUGACGAGGCACUACGGUGCUGAAGCAACAAAUGCCCUGCUUCCAGGAAAAGCCUCUAAGCAUCAGGUAACAUCAAAUCGUACCCCAAACCGACACAGGUGGUCAGGUAGAGAAUACCAAGGCGCUUGAGAGAACUCGGGUGAAGGAACUAGGCAAAAUGGUGCCGUAACUUCGGGAGAAGGCACGCUGACACGUAGGUGAAGUGAUUUACUCACGGAGCUGAAGUCAGUCGAAGAUACCAGCUGGCUGCAACUGUUUAUUAAAAACACAGCACUGUGCAAACACGAAAGUGGACGUAUACGGUGUGACGCCUGCCCGGUGCCGGAAGGUUAAUUGAUGGGGUCAGCGCAAGCGAAGCUCCUGAUCGAAGCCCCGGUAAACGGCGGCCGUAACUAUAACGGUCCUAAGGUAGCGAAAUUCCUUGUCGGGUAAGUUCCGACCUGCACGAAUGGCGUAAUGAUGGCCAGGCUGUCUCCACCCGAGACUCAGUGAAAUUGAACUCGCUGUGAAGAUGCAGUGUACCCGCGGCAAGACGGAAAGACCCCGUGAACCUUUACUAUAGCUUGACACUGAACAUUGAGCCUUGAUGUGUAGGAUAGGUGGGAGGCUUUGAAGCGUGGACGCCAGUCUGCGUGGAGCCAACCUUGAAAUACCACCCUUUAAUGUUUGAUGUUCUAACGUGGACCCGUGAUCCGGGUUGCGGACAGUGUCUGGUGGGUAGUUUGACUGGGGCGGUCUCCUCCUAAAGAGUAACGGAGGAGCACGAAGGUUGGCUAAUCCUGGUCGGACAUCAGGAGGUUAGUGCAAUGGCAUAAGCCAGCUUGACUGCGAGCGUGACGGCGCGAGCAGGUGCGAAAGCAGGUCAUAGUGAUCCGGUGGUUCUGAAUGGAAGGGCCAUCGCUCAACGGAUAAAAGGUACUCCGGGGAUAACAGGCUGAUACCGCCCAAGAGUUCAUAUCGACGGCGGUGUUUGGCACCUCGAUGUCGGCUCAUCACAUCCUGGGGCUGAAGUAGGUCCCAAGGGUAUGGCUGUUCGCCAUUUAAAGUGGUACGCGAGCUGGGUUUAGAACGUCGUGAGACAGUUCGGUCCCUAUCUGCCGUGGGCGCUGGAGAACUGAGGGGGGCUGCUCCUAGUACGAGAGGACCGGAGUGGACGCAUCACUGGUGUUCGGGUUGUCAUGCCAAUGGCACUGCCCGGUAGCUAAAUGCGGAAGAGAUAAGUGCUGAAAGCAUCUAAGCACGAAACUUGCCCCGAGAUGAGUUCU